rnacentral:rRNA from 1 species
CUCAGGUGCGAAAGCGUGGGGAGCAAACAGGAUUAGAUACCCUGGUAGUCCACGCUGUAAACGAUGUCGAUUUAGAGGUUGUGGUCUUGAACCGUGGCUUCUGGAGCUAACGGCGUUAAAUCGACGCCUGGGGAGUACGGCCGCAAGGUUAAAACUCAAAUGAAUUGACGGGGGCCCGCACAAGCGGUGGAGCAUGUGGUUUAAUUCGAUGCAACGCGAAGAACCUUACCUACUCUUGACAUCCAGCGAAUCCUUUAGAGAUAGAGGAGUGCCUUCGGGAACGCUGAGACAGGUGCUGCAUGGCUGUCGUCAGCUCGUGUUGUGAAAUGUUGGGUUAAGUCCCGCAACGAGCGCAACCCUUAUCCUUUGUUGCCAGC